rnacentral:misc_RNA from 1 species
CUGCCGAUGCAGCCUCUGUUAACACGCUGCUCGGACUUGAAGACGACUCAUCCGUUCACUCCCGCGGCGGUGGCGCUGCUGCACCCGAGAACGGGGAUCUACGUCUGCCCCGACCGGAGUCAUCUGGUAAGAUCCCGGACUCGCCGAUGCUGGACACCACUUCGUCAUUUGGAUCUGCGUCGUCUGUGCCGUAUCUGCCCCCAAUUCGGGUGCGUGCAGACGAUCGGGCGCAGAUCGCAGGCGUAGAGGAGCAAUUUGG